rnacentral:rRNA from 1 species
UAAUACGGAGGGUCCAAGCGUUAUCCGGAUUUAUUGGGUUUAAAGGGUCCGUAGGCGGGUUAUUAAGUCAGUGGUGAAAUCCUACAGCUCAACUGUAGAACUGCCAUUGAAACUGGUAACCUUGAGUAUAAUUGAAGUGGGCGGAAUGUGUCAUGUAGCGGUGAAAUGCUUAGAUAUGCCACAGAACACCGAUGGCGAAGGCAGCUCACUAAAUUAUAACUGACGCUGAGGGACGAAAGCGUGGGUAGCGAACAGGAUUAGAUACCCUGGUAGUCCACGCCGUAAACGAUGUAUACUCGUUGCUGGCGAUACACAGUCAGUGACCAAGCGAAAGUAUUAAGUAUACCACCUGGGGAGUACGCUCGCAAGAGUG